rnacentral:rRNA from 1 species
CGGCGGACGGCUGAGUAACACGUAGGAACGUACCCAAAGUGAGGGAUAAGCACCAGAAAUGGUGUCUAAUACCGCAUGUGGCCUUCGGGCUAAAGCUCCGGCGCUUUGGGAACGGCCUGCGUAUGAUUAGUUUGUUGGUGAGGUAAUGGCUCACCAAGACUACGAUCAUUAGCUGGUCUGAGAGGAUGAUCAGCCAGACUGGGACUGAGAACGGCCCAG